GCAGUACGAGGUGUAGCAAGUGGAGGUGAGAAUUGUCUCUCUUUUCUCUGAUUUUCUCACAGACUUUUCCCAGCACCAUGCCUGGGAAGGUGACCUGUGUCUCCCUGUGACCAGCCAGAGCUGCUGCUGCCACAGCUCCCCACGGCCACAGUGAGGCAGCAAAAUCCAAACAGGCUUCCCUGGUUUGGGUUUUUGUCCUAAAGCAACUCAGGAAGGAGUCCCUGAGAGCUCUGCCAAGUGUGCUGCAGGAAAAGACUGGUGGGGGUUCACCUCCAGCAGUACCCGAUUCCUUUUGUGCUUUGCUCCUGCAGGAACUGAGCUGGGUGAGAGCGACACAAACUUUUCCAGACAUUUCCACUUCAGGGUCCUGUUGGGCUCAGCAAGCACAGCAUGAAACCAUUCCCUGAGCAGUCACUGAAGCCUGAAUCAAAAGCAACAAGAAAAGGACCCUUCUCUUAUAGGUUUGCCAGAAAUGAGGCACACACACCUGUCAGGGUGAUGUGGGUGCUGAGGAACUUCACGGAGAGGUCAUCUCGAGUGGGAUUGCAGGAGAAGCAGGGCAUCAGGCCCAGCCUGGGUUAGGGCAGGUCCUGCCUGCCCAGCCUGAUCUCUGGGACCAGCUGACCUGCCCAGGGGCUGAGGCAGAGGGAUGUUGUCUACCCAGACUGCAGCAAAACCUUCAACACCAUGACCUGCUCUCUCUGGUGUUUGGAUCUUCCAGCUCAUCUGAGGGUAAAACCUGCAGUUCAGAAGGGAGGAGUGUUUCUGUGCUGCUGAGACAAGGGCACACAAAGGCCAUUUGUUGUCUGAAUGCUGCAGAAAUGGCCUUCUCUGGCAGAACACAGAGGGAGCCAAAACCCAGCCUUGGAAGCUCCUGAUGGAAGAUGCUCCAGGUGUGUUUCUGUUCAGCUCCCUCAUGUAAGAGUGGUGCUGCUCUGAGUGCUGUGGCAUGAAGCUUAGUGGUAUAGAAAGUGGAAGAAAUGUGUGGUGAUGCCUAUUAGCAGAGGCUAAAAAACAUUUUUAACCUUAUUUAAUUCAGGUACAAAGCAAUUCCUAUGCAAGACAAACAAAUGGAGGAUCUGAGCUCUUUACCAUAACAGGUGUUUGUUUUCUGCAGAGUUCAGAUGCUGUGACCAUUUAAAAAUGGAAAUACAGUUAAUGGUGAAAGCUUGUAUGUGACACAUCCACUCAAAUGUGCAGCAGAACCCAUGGCCUUCUAUAACCAGAAGGAAAUAAUAUUCUGUAAGAGGGCUAUGAUGUGGUUUCUCCCUGUCAGAGAGAGGCAAAGGAAGAGAGAGGAAAUAUUCAUUUCAGGCAGAGGAGAAGGAGAGACUUCCAUCAAGUCUGUCUAGUGUUGUCAACACCCGAGAGAAAUAUUUCAUGCUUCUUUAUAACUUUACUAAAUCAUAUGGGAACAUCAGGCUCUGAAUAAAGAAGAGCAUGGAGGAAAAGAAUGACUCAAAAGUUGAUCUGCUUUACUGUAAGCACAGCUAAACUCUGGGCACGCACUAUUCCUGAAACUGUUUUCCCUGCUCUUAAGGUUUAUCCUUGAAGUCUCUGACUUGCUGCAGCUACUGGAGGAAAUGAAUGUUGGUUGGAGUCUGUACAGGAUGUUUGUAAUUCUUCUAGUGGUAUAAAAAUAACUUUCCCAGUUUUGAUUAUGUUGAGUCCUCGUAAAGACAAUUUUGGGUUU